AUGAUCAAUAGUCUGUUAAUUGUAGAUGUAAACAAAAUACAUUUUCCACUUUCUUGUGUGCUUGUACAGCUUAAUAUACCCACGGACACUUUGUAUUUCUGCAGUGGGUUGGUUGGAAGUCAUUAACCGCUGCAGAAGUCUCUGUCAUGGUUCCCCCUGCUAGCUAAAGUCAAUAUUUCGUAAACAUAAACGCAGUAAAGUCAACUCUUCCAUAGCUGCAGAAUCAAUCCAUAAACAACUAAAAUAAUCUAAUCUGUUCUCGAGCUACAUUCUUACUCUGAUAAACAACGUGUAACAUUUUCAACUUGAACGUUAAUGUUUCUUUGUGUUUGCAUUCAAAAUGAGCUGAUUAUUGAUUCAAAUCUGCAUUUUUAAAAGUGUUUCUGGUGUGUUCAGUUGUUUUACUUCAUCAUAGUGUUCAGCUGGACCUGCAGGUUCACGGAUAUCAUUAAAAGUUUACUGUUAUCAUGGAAAAAUGUUAUUACGGAGUCUAGUAAUUCUCUCUACAUAUUAAUAUGAAAAAAACAGUUAAAUUUAGAUCUUUUGUGAAAGUGUUGCUUUAAACCGUCUGAAGUAAAAGUGUAGUAAACAACACAACCCCUGUGCAACAUCUCUGUAGUAAGUUACCGUUUCAUCGCUUUGUACAGUGAGGUUGGCGCUUUAUAAAAUAAAUUAUUCACUGUAGUUUUGUGAAACAUAAGUUGGAAAAGUUGAGCUGGACUUUCCCAGUUUUUCAACUUGUGUUCUGUGUCUGCAUCAUGGCUCCACGUGGAAAACAAUCAGGAAACUUGACUGUGAGACGUAACAAAGAUGGAAAAAUCAUCCAGGAAGAUGGUAGUAAGAGGAAUCAGGAGGUCCAGAAGGAGUCAUAGUACUAUUAAUCAGGAGGUCUAGAAAGAGUCAUAGUUCCACUAAUCAGGAGGUCUAGAAAGAGUCAUAGUUCCACUAAUCAGGAGAUCUAGAAGGAGUCAUAGUUCCACUAAUCAGGAGAUCUAGAAGGAGUCAUAGUUCCACUAAUCAGGAGGUCUAGAAGGAGUCAUAGUACCACUCAUCAGGAGAUCUAGAAGGAGUCAGAGUAGCACUAAUCAGGAGGUCUAGAAGGAGUCAUAGUAGCACUAAUCAGGAGGUCUAGAAAGAGUCAUAGUAGUACCAGUAAUCAGGAGGUCUAGAAGGAGUCAUAGUGCCACUAAUCAGGAGGUCUAGAAGGAGUCAUAGUUCCACUAAUCAGUAGGUCUAGAAGGAGUCAUAGUACCACUAAUCAGGAGGUCUAGAAGGAGUCAUAGUAGCACUAAUCAGGAGGUCUAGAAGGAGUCAUAGUAGCACUAAUCAGGAGGUCUAGAAGGAGUCAUAGUAGCACUAAUCAGGAGGUCUAGAAGGAGUCAUAGUGCCACUAAUCAGGAGGUCUAGAAGGAGUCAUAGUUCCACUAAUCAGUAGGUCUAGAAGGAGUCAUAGUACCACUAAUCAGGAGGUCUAGAAGGAGUCAUAGUAGCACUAAUCAGGAGGUCUAGAAGGAGUCAUAGUAGCACUAAUCAGGAGGUCUAGAAGGAGUCAUAGUAGCACUAAUCAGGAGGUCUAGAAGGAGUCAUAGUACCACUAAUCAGGAGGUCUAGAAGGAGUCAUAGUUCCACUAAUCAGGAGGUCUAGAAGGAGUCAUAGUUCCACUAAUUAGGAGGUCUAGAAGGAGUCAUAGUCGCACUAUUCAGGAGGUCUAGAAGGAGUCAUAGUAGCACUAAUCAGGAGGUCUAGAAGGAGUCAUAGUUCCACUAAUCAGGAGGUCUAGAAGGAGUCAUAGUCGCACUAAUCAGGAGGUCUAGAAGGAGUCAUAGUAGCACUAAUCAGGAGGUCUAGAAAGAGUCAUAGUGCCACUAAUCAGGAGGUCUAGAAGGAGUCAUAGUAGUACCACUAAUCAGGAGGUCUAGAAGGAGUCAUAGUGCCACUAAUCAGGAGGUCUAGAAGGAGUCAUAGUAGUACCAGUAAUCAGGAGGUCUAGAAGGAGUCAUAGUUCCACUCAUCAGGAGGUCUAGAAGGAGUCAUAGUUCCACUAAUCAGUAGGUCUAGAAGGAGUCAUAGUUCCACUCAUCAGGAGGUCUAGAAGGAGUCAUAGUUCCACUAAUCAGGAGGUCUAGAAGGAGUCAUAGUUCCACUAAUCAGGAGGUCUAGAAGGAACCAUAGUUCCACUAAUCAGAAGGUCUAGAAGGAGUCAUAGUUCCACUAAUCAGGGCUCCUAAAACGACUCCACAGACGGUGAAAUACUUUCAGAAUUCAUGAGAGAAGUUAGCAAUAGCAGUCAGAGUUUCUGAGCAGCUCAGACAGCAUGAAGCAGACUUCGGAACGAAACCUUUCUGGACGACGUCCAAGAAAACACCCUUAGUUCCACUUAUGCAAAAAAUAAAAAUAAAAAAUAAAAUAAAAGCACAUUAAAGUUGACUGAGCAGGACCGCCACAGUGAAUGCAUCGUCCUGACAGUGAAGCAUGGAGGUGGAAAUGGUGCCAUGA